rnacentral:rRNA from 1 species
UACGGAGGAUGCGAGCGUUAUCCGGAUUUAUUGGGUUUAAAGGGUGCGCAGGCGGAGGUGCAAGUCAGUGGUCAAAUUGCGGGGCUCAACCCCGUACUGCCGUUGAAACUGCAUCCCUUGAGUGCGCGAGAAGUAUGCGGAAUGCGUGGUGUAGCGGUGAAAUGCAUAGAUAUCACGCAGAACCCCGAUUGCGAAGGCAGCAUACCGGCGCCCUACUGACGCUGAGGCACGAAAGUGCGGGUAUCGAACAGG